CGCCCAGAGGACGUUGCUUUCGGUUCGGCCUCGUUGGGUCGGGGGCCGCGCGGUGGCGGCUUGAACCCAGGCGCCCGUGAGAGGCGGGGACGCGGGGGGCCCAAGGCGGGUCGACCGGCCUGGGGGCGCCGGGGAGACGCGCCUGUCCUCGCGAGGGUUGUCCGGGACCGAGAGCCCCGGGGGCGGUCUCGUUUCAGUGAUGUGGACACAGUGACUCGGGUGCGGGGCCGACGCGAGGACACCGGGAUCGCGGGGGACGCGCUAGUGGCCGGGAUUCGGCUGGUAUUCAGAAUAUGGUGAUUCUAAUGGGGAAGAUAAACGAUAAACACAUGAACCAAUAAAUAAAAUAAUUUCGGAGAGUA